ensembl:lncRNA
UUUUUCCCUUCCGCUCCUGCUCCAGUGGCAAGAUGUGAUCCCAGCAAGGAGGGAGGCCAAAGCUGUUGAGUUCCUGAUAUCACUCAUAAAAAUAAACUAGAACAUGAAGGAAGAGGACAUGAAGAGAAUGAACAACUGUCUAUUAUCCAUCUGCUUGCAAGGACUGAAAAAAAUUUAAUUGGUCAGGAAGCAGAGAGAUGGACAGCUGCACAUCCAAGAGUCACGAGAAGCAAGUCCCCUGGGAUGCUGUGCUCUAACUUGCUCACAUAGUCUCUGCUGCUCUAGAGCUGAUUGUACCCGGGCCACUCCUCUUUGCUGGCAACGUAGGAGGAUCAUCUAGUCAGACUUGAUCGUCUCCAAGUGCCCUGUGCUUUUCUUCAAGUUCCAUUGUUGCUUUUGGCCAGUGUUUUUAUCACAGCAAUAAAAAGCAAACUAAGACGAUAUAUUAAUGGGCCAUCUUUAGGAGAGGAUCCA